ACAAAGUGAAGAUAUUGCUGAAAAUUAUGACAAACACCAAGAGUUAACCACCAAAACACAGGUUUUUAAUGACUCUGAAGAUGUCUUUACCAAGCAAUCUAUCCCUAUUAUUACAGAGGAACCCAAACAACCAUGUCAACAUAGUCAAGUAGUUCUCACAUAUACAGUUAUACUUUAUACUGUUUACCACUAGUCAUGUUUUUAAUGUGUUAUAAAUUGACAAUAUGCGUGUUGAUUGCUUAUGCAUGAAACACUGUGUAGCAAAACUUUAUUAACAUCUGGUAGAAAUGUGCUCAACAAACAUAAAAAUACAUUAAAAUAGAUAUUUUUGAAACAGUGAACAUUAAUAAUUACUGUGUACUUGUUCUUUCAGAGUCAUUUGUCACCCACUUGCCACUAUACUUGGCUAUUGUUACAGUUUGACUUUGCAUCAAAUGUAUCACGUCAGCAAUCCUUUGUUGUUCAUGAUUAUAAUGCAAACAAAAGAAAAAUUAUGGUGAUGUCAAAUUUUAUUUCCAUAAUUUCAAUGUUGGGUAUAUACCCAACUAAAUGAUAUUACUCAAUAUGCUUUUUUUGGUGCUAUAAUCUGCAUGUAUUUUUUUCUUCAGCAUAAUUCAUUUGUAUUUGUACAUCGAUAUCCCGACCUAUUGCUUGAUGGCUAUGGUUGGAUAUUGCGCUGCUCAUGUGAUGCAAAUAGAAAACGAUUUGUUGAAGCCCUACCUAGUAAUAUACAAUUAGAUCCUCAAAAAGGCAUGUAAAAUAGAUGUUACUGAAAUGAAAUGAUUAAAACAGGCCAAACAACAUUUUU